rnacentral:lncRNA from 1 species
ACACGGACACUAAUAUUUCACUAGUGUGUCAUUGACGCUGCAGCAAGACUACAUUACCGUUUUGAAGUUAAAUAAAACAUAGAGAUAAAUCUCUGAGUUUAACAUGUUUUAUUUGGGAAGCAACAACUGCAGUUCGGGGGAUAGACACAGAACGGUGGCCUCUCGUAUGUCCAAAGAACAGAGAAGUUUGGAGGUUUUAUGAAGAGGAGAAAUGCUGUGUAUUGUUUUGAAAUAAAGUUCCUUGGCACUAGUAAGGUUUUGGGGAUGCUGGCGAACACUGAUUUGUGGGUGAUGGUGUUAGAUUUCAGCAGGUUGUUCCAGUGGCUGUUAGAUAAAACUGGUUUCAGGUUACACCUGGCAGUUCCAGCAGCCAGGUCUGCAGAGAAUCGUAUGCUUGAAGGAACGUCUUGUGCCUCAAGCGCUUUACCCGCAACCUCUGGACUCUGUUUUAGUUGAGUGUGACAAGAAAGACCCAAGGCGUAUGAAGCUUUGACCCUGUUUUGUAAACUCCCUUUGAUGCGGUCAGAGUUCAUUUGGGGAAACUUCUGGGAAUAGUCAACACGGCCGGUUGGAAACGGAGGUGGAAUUCAGUGGUUACAGCAGAAGCCUGCACUCUAUCGUCCAGUGAGAGCAGCCCAGGGAUGGGCACUCAUGAAGGAGAGUGAUGCUGCCCACAGGAAGCAGGCCAGUGCUGAGCAGAGAGAACCACAAGAAAAGCAGACAGGUCUGCCCGCGUUUGAGCUGGUAUCACUUGCCCAGCAGGCAGGCAUGGGGUGACACAUGACUGGGCGAGCCACUCGCUGGGUGGGGCAUUCACACAGGUCAGCUCAAACCAGAUGGAGCCUGGGACUGUGACCAAGGAGCGAGUGAAGGUCAAAGCCACACAUGGGGCUGAGGGGCCAGGUGGCCGCCUUAUGAGAUCGAAGGCGGGAAGCUUUGGAACAGGGCAAAAAGGGGAGCCCAGGGUGAGGGGAGAGGGCCGAGCAGCUCGGAUCUCUGAUGGCUGAGUGGCCUGUUCUGGGUCUGACUACCCUACCCUGGGGCCUGACUCUGCCCCGCCCCUCGCAACACUCAACAAACGCUUGUGGAAGGAGUGAACAAAUGACAAGUCACGAAACCUAAAUACAGGUAUGUCACAAGAAGCCCUCCAGGCAGCGAGUCACUUAGCACUGCACAGGUAGCAACUUUCUAAAAUAUUUUACCUUUAGUAUUGUCAUUUCAUAUUUCUGUCUUUCUCUUACUUUAGUGUACUAUUUUAUGGUGUCUUAAACCAUCACGCAAUUCCACGGGUAUGCAGCACAAAGAAUUGAGAAGUAAUUCCGAUAAGAGCAGGGGAAUAGUAAUUGAAACUGACACCCAUGUGACACUUUACAGUUUACAAAGUGCAUGGGUCGCAAUUCCAGAGUCUUCAGCUUUGGAGGAGACUGAGGUGCGGGACAUGGAAAAGAAGGUCAUUCUCUUGGAGCCCCAACAAUGACCAGGAGAAAUUCAUUUGGCGGUAAAACCACACGAACCCUAUUACAUCACCAAGCCCUCACCGUUUCCAGCACCCAGGGUCUCUACAAAGAGGCAAGCUGGGACUGAAAUCUCUCCCGAGUGUGGAAGACGGACGGGAGCAGCAGCCGGACAGCACAGCUCAAGGCCGAGAGGCUCACUGGGUGACUCGGGCCGCUUUGGGGUGGCUGUGAGAAGCGAAGGGAGGCUGACUCGGGGUGUGGUGGGGAGUGAAGCCACCACCUUAUUGCCUAGGCCUUCCCUUGAUGCACUUGGAAAAUAAGUUGCUCUUUCUUCACCGGGUGGGGACAUUAAUUAAUGUUUGCAAAAGUCUUUAUGAUCCUUGUCAAAAGGUGUUCGGCCGGCUCUAAUUAUCCAGGUUUCAGCUGCCACCGCUUCCAUCUCAGCACAGCAUCUCUGCCCUGGAAGAUGUCAAACAAGAUUGCUGUUGUCAGGAUGUGCAUCCAGCUCAUGUGGAUUUCUAUCUGCAUCUCCAAAUACUGCCCAGAUUCCAAAGCCCUGCAAGGGGAUGGUAUCUUGUUUGGGGAGAUGAGACCUGUGCCCCGCCCAGCUCCACCCCGUAAGAAGGCAGCUGCCUGGGAGGUAUAAUUUGAUAAGUUUCUGGAAGGACUCACACAUCCAAAACCAACUCCCCAUGUCUUCUCAUGGGGGCCGGAAAUUCCUCCACUAAAAAUUCACUCCUUCACGGGUCUUCGAUGCUUUCUCAAGUAGUCUAGGACACGGUGGUGGAGGGAGAACCAGCCCAGGAGCCAGGCAGCCUAGCCCUGGGUUUCCUCCUUGUGUGGGUGCUGGCUCUGCCCUUACCGGCCUGGUGACCUGGAUAAACUCAUUCUCUUUCUUUCUCAUUUUUUCCACCUAAAAUGGCAACGCUAAUGCCUGUCUCACGUGCUGUCGUGCAGAUUAGAUGAGAUAAUGGAUGUGAACGCCAAGUGUUGCAGAGACGUAAGCGGCAUUAUCGUUACUGAAAUGUCCCAGCCAGAUCAUCCCCAGGAGGGAUUAAUGGCCCACCAGGACAGGUGGGCACCUGGGGUGGUCGGAAGAGCCAGGAGAACCACAGCAGGGAAAAAGACUUCAGGAAAGGAAAGGAGAGAGACCCCACCGCUGGCACAACCACAGAAGUUUUGGGGAUGAGGAGGGGCUCUAGAUAUUUCCCCACUUCCCCAGACAGCCGUGUGCCCUUACAGGGGAACUGAAGCUGCCCACCCGGCUCAGGCCUGACCCCCCAGGUACCUGCUGCCCCAGGUGUGCGGGAGGAGGGUGAUGGCAGACGGACACCCACCUGGUGAAAGAGCCAGUCAGAAAAAUAACUGAGCGUGCCUGGGUGCAUGCAGACACAUCCCCAGGUAAUUUAGACAAAAAGGCCCCGUGUUGGCACGAGUAGCCCAUGGAUGUCAGACCAGAGUAAUUGCUUUCUUUGUCAGAAUUUCCUGCAUAAUUUCCUCUCCUUUGUUUAGCUGAGAGAACCUGGCCUUGCAUCUGGGAGUCUGCUUGCCAAACAUGAUUGGGUUCUUAGAGAUGAAAGACACAGAGUGAGCUAUUUUCCAUAAACACACUGGCACAUGUGUUAAUUACUGCAAGGAGAAAACCAGCCCCCAUGUUUCACGUGGGAGGUGCGUGGUGCUGUGGGGGGAGCGAUGGGUGGAGGGAGGACACCCUUCAGGAUCACAGUAGCUACUUCUCACCAGGACACUGCUGCCAUCCAGCCUUUGUUCUGGGCAUUUUGCGUUAAAAAUCUCAUUUAAUCUUCACAACAGGCCUGUGAGGCAGAAUCCAGGAAUGGAAAGAACUCGGGUUUAGAAGCCAAACAUUGCUGGAUUUAGUUCUGUCCUCAGCCACUUACUGAGUGAACGGGGCAAGCUACUUGCUUACUGGAGCUUCAGUUUUCCCGUCUGUUAAAUGGAAAUAAUACUGGCUUCAGUGUGUUGUGAGAAUUCCCUAUAGUAAUGACUGUGAAACAGCUGAAACCCUGCAGGCAGGUGGUAAAUGAUAGCUCUCGUGUUGCCCUUUAUGGAUAAGGAUGCAAGAAGUUUAGGAUGGUUGGCCAAUGCCACACUGCUGGUCAGCAGCAGAGCUAGGUCCGUCUCCCUGCCAAAGGCAGGCAUUUUGCUCAGAGGCCACCAAACCCAUACCCUUGGUGGCCAACAUGGCAGCGGCCGGAUCGGAGUCUCCCCCCAGUACUUUGUAAGCCCAUUGAGGGUAAGACUAUGCAUCAGAUCUCUUGGCAUCCUUGGUAUCCUUGGCAGGUCUCUUGGUAUCCUUGGCAUCCUCUCUCACAGUGCCGUAAAUGUUCCUUAAAUGGAUGAAAGCAUUCAGGAGCACCUAGAAUAGAUUGAGCAGAUAACCGCAUAACAGGUGUCCACUGUGUGCAUAUAACUUCAGCCUCUUCUGCGUUGUUGGGACAUGAAGUCCCUUCGCUUUGCAUGGAAAAUAGUCUAGGCACCCCCUGGCUGACUUGCCACGAUGCCUGUCCUCAGGACAGGAAGAAGGAUGGGCCCAAGGAGGAGAAUUGCGUCAGAGGUCAAGAAAUGAACUCCAGCAGAAGUAGCACAAACAGGGAACCCAUAAGGAAGCUUGUGAUGAACAAACAUAGGGCAGAUGAAGUGGAAUAUUGGAUGGAAACACACCUUGAAAAUGCACAGACCUGUGGCAAGGGAAGGGAUCACUGCUUAGAUCAAUAGCAGGGCCUUGGACCAUGGUUAGGGGGAUGCUUGUUAGUGCUUCCCUGGGCUGCAGGGAGCCACGGAAAACAGGCCAGGGCAGGAGACCGGCCAGUGACUCACACGGCGGAACACAGGUUUAGAGGAGCAAAAUCUGAAGGGCCCCUCUCCUUCUCCCCACCUGUUUUCUGUCACGUGCUCUGGACCUGAGCCCACAGUGGGGCAGCUCCCUCGGCCUCCAGUGGAAGGCGGAAGCACUUGACAAAAAGCCUCCAGUUAACCGGGGCAAGCAGCAGGGUGGGGCUCAGGCCUUCUGGCCAAGUCCUUGUCUCCCUCGAGUCUCCAGCUUUCUCCUGAGAGGCAAAGCCCUCGCCAGGCAGGCUUUAAUAAGCAGUAGUGCCCUGCACCCCUGCCCAAGUCCCCGGACCCCAUGCUGGCAGGCUACUGCAGCCCCUAUCUUGCCUGGCACAUGGCACAUGGGGUGUCUUGGCAUGUGGGGUGGUGCUGUAUGCCUGUAGUCACAGACUGGCACUCACUGCAAGAGCUUCCAAUGUGUGAGAGCUGAGGCUAGAGUUCCUUGCUGCCUGUGAAGAUGGUGCUGUGACCGGAGCAGGCCUCAUAAUGAGCCGGUGAUUUCAUCCCCUCCAGACAGAAGACAAAGUCUGUGCCUUCUGGGCAAAACAUUAGCUGACCCGUGACACUGCUCAGACCCCAGAGGCCUGGCUCCCGGCCUGCCGGGAGCAGUCACUCCAAACAGCUGCGGCUGUGAGGCCUUCAGAGAGUGGCUAAUUAGGGUCUCACCUGGCCAGCUCCAAUCUGCAACCACAAGCUCGAGGCCCAGCUGCCUCUCCCCAGUGCCUCUGGGGCUCCGCUGCCUCCCUCACAGAUGGCGAGUGACUUCCUUGAUCUGUAUAAACAAGAAUUCUGCCUUAUUCAAACAGCAAUGAUAGAUUGGAGGAUCUACUAUGUACAACACACUGUGCUUGCAUCCAAUGGUAGAGUUAGAAAAAAAAAUGUGAUGUCCUGUGAUGUUAAGAAGUGAAGAACCCCAUGGGGAGGUAGCAGAAAACAUCCAACAGUGAGUGGCAACAGGUGUGCUGGUCACCGAGGGCUUCUUGGGCAAGGUCAUUCAUGAACUGGGUCUUGCAGCACAGAUGUGCUGGGAGUGGAAGAGGACACAGUUAGAUGCCACUUUAUCCUCACUAUAGUGGCACAAAUGGAGAAGGCUGAUGAUGCUGUGUGCUGGGGAAGAGGUGGGUGUGUAGGUUGUCUACCUGUUGGCCGUGGGAGUGUAAAUGAGUCACCCACUCAGGAAAAUAGCUGAACAACCCCCAGGGGUACAUUCCUGUACACCACCACCCAGCAAUUCCACUCGUAGGUAUACACUUCAGAAAACUCUUACACAAAAAUAUUCACAGCAGGACUGUUCAAACGCCCACCAACAGAAGAAUGGAUAAACAGGUGUGUUCACACCAUGGAGUAUCAGACAGCGUCCAAAGAGAGGAAUUACGGCCACCCUAGCAAUAUGGACAAUGCUUAUCAACUUACUACUAAGUGAGAAAAGUAAGUCCCAAAAGAGUACAAACAGCAUGACACCCUCUCAAAGAAGGCAAAGAGAUGUCAAAUAUAAUAUACACAUUUUAGGACUCCAAGGAAUAGGUAAGAUGAGAGGACAGGAUAGGAAAAUAGGCCAGGAGCUGUGGCUCAUGCCUGGAAUCCCAGCACUUAGGUAGGCCGAGGCAGUUAGAUCACUUGAGCCCAGGAGUUCAAGACCACCCUGGACAAUAUAGCGAAACCUCGUCUCUACAAAAAAUACAAAAAUUAGCCAGGUGUGCUGGCAUGUGCCUGAAGUCCCAGCUACUUAGGAGGCUGAAGCGAGAGGAUUGCUUGAGCCUGGAAGGUCAAGGCUGCAGUGAGCUGUGAUCGUGCCACUGCACUCCAGCCUGGGUAAUAGAGAAAGAUCCUGUCUCAAAAAAAAAAGGAAAACACAGAAAGGAGGCACACAGGAUUCGGGGUGACAGCUAUCUUGGGAUAGCUCCCUGCAGCCCAGGGAAGCACUAGGGAGGGAAUGGGAUGGGGUAGGCCACACAGCUGAUGUCAGCUCUUGCUAAGGCCCAGCUUUCAGGCUGGGUGGUGGUUUCACAGGUGACUAUUCUGUUACUUUAAAAUGUGAUCUAUUAGCACAGCUAGGGACGUAGGACUAUGCCUGUAAUAGCAAAAGUAAUAAAAUGCAUCAAAGCCCAGGA